UACGUAGGUGGCGAGCGUUGUCCGGAUUUACUGGGCGUAAAGGGAGCGUAGGCGGACUUUUAAGUGAGAUGUGAAAUACUCGGGCCCAACUUGAGUGCUGCAUUUCAAACUGGAAGUCUAGAGUGCAGGAGAGGAGAAUGGAAUUCCUAGUGUAGCGGUGAAAUGCGUAGAGAUUAGGAAGAACACCAGUGGCGAAGGCGAUUCUCUGGACUGUAACUGACGCUGAGGCUCGAAAGCGUGGGGAGCAAACAGG
rnacentral:rRNA from 1 species